rnacentral:rRNA from 1 species
UUGGAGGGCAAGUCUGGUGCCAGCAGCCGCGGUAAUUCCAGCUCCAAUAGCGUAUAUUAAAGUUGUUGCAGUUAAAAAGCUCGUAGUUGAAUUUCGGGGUUAGUAGGUUGGUCAUGCCACUGGUAUGUACUGGUCUCACUGAUUCCUCCUUCCUGAUGAGCCGUAAUGCCAUUAAUUUGGUGUUGCGAGGAAUCUGGACUGUUACUUUGAAAAAAUUAGAGUGUUUAAAGCAAGCUAACGCUUGAAUACAUUAGCAUGGAAUAAUGAAAUAGGGCGUUCGAUCCUAUUUUGUUGGUUUCUAGGAUUGACGUAAUGAUUAAUAGGGAUAGUUGGGGGCAUUAGUAUUCAAUUGUCAGAGGUGAAAUUCUUGGAUUUAUUGAAGACUAACUACUGCGAAAGCAUUUGCCUAGGAUGUUUUCAUUAAUCAAGAACGAAAGUUUGGGGAUCGAAGACGAUCAGAUACCGUCGUAGUCUUAACCAUAAACUAUGCCGACUAGGGAUCGGAUGAUGUUAAUUUUUUAAUGACUCAUUCGGCGCCUUACGGGAAACCAAAGUGUUUGGGUUC